UUUAGCCUCGAAAUUUACAAGU
rnacentral:siRNA from 1 species